UGACCUUCAAACAUUUUUCCAGUUAUUUCACUUCCGCGUUGGGAUUUCCGGAGUUUUAGAACUUUCGACCGAAAAAAGGUGCGUCUUUUCGACAGUUUUCAUGUCUUCAUGAAUCAUAUUAAUAUAUUUUGUGUGAUUUUCAUUUUAAAGAUGGGAAACCAACUGCCGAGAAUCCUGAUCCGCAGCCAGCCUGUAUUCAUGACAAAUGCACGCCAGUCAGACGUCCUCCAAAAUUAAGGUCCUUGUCUGAGCCACCGAAGAAGAAAGCAAGAACAGCGUUAAUUGAAACUUUCAGAAAACAUAUGUCUGGACAUGCUGACAAUGACUGCAGAAAAUGAGUCGUUAAAACAACAAAUUGCCAAACUCAUUCUAGAAAACAUAGACCUUACAAGGAGAUGCACACCAAAAAGAAAUUCAGAAAAUGUGCAGGACACUAAGACACUUUUCAGUGCAGAGAAAUUUAGAGACAAUAAGAAAAAGGAUGAAUCUGUUUAUUACACAGGACUUAAUAAAGAGCAAUUUGCUACCCUGUUUCAAUUUCUUGUGCCUGCGAAGAAACCUUUCAAAAUGACAAGAAACAUAUCAAGUUUUGAGCAAGUGUCUAUGGAAGACCAGCUGCUGAUGUUACUUAUGACAUUAAGACAAAACUUUGACUUCAAUCACCUCGGAAAACUGUUUGGAAUUUCACAACAGGAUACCAGCACUCUCUUUACAAACUGGAUCCAGUUUAUGUUUUACAGGUGGGGUUCAGUUUCAAUAUGGCCACAUCGUGAUGUUAUUAUUGCUAUGAUGCCAGAUAAAUUCCGCGAAGAAUUUCCAAACACACUGAUAAUAAUUGAUGGAACUGAACUUAAAACUUUAAGUUUCCACUUUUCUCUAUUUUAAAAUUCAAAGACCAAGCUCUAUGACGAGGCUAAGUCAGUGUUAUUCUUAUUAUAAAUCUUGUAACACUUUGAAGGGUCUUGUUGGCAUUGAUCCACGAGGGUCUAUCAUUUUUGUAUUAGUUUCUAUGUUUUUCUGGGGCCAUCUCAGUUAAGGAAUUAACACAAUCAAAGUGGUUUCCUUACCUUGCUUGAAAAAGUUAUGGAGUGUGGCAAAAUUCAAGAAGGUGAUGCUGUUAUGGUUGACAAAGGAUUUCGAAUUAGAGAGGAGAUAGAAAAUCUGGGCCUUAAUCUUAAUAUCCCACCCUUUGCUUACACUGGUACACAGAUGACCUCGUCAGACAUAGCCUUAACGAAAAAUUGCUAGGCACAGGGUGCAUGUUGAACGUGCAAGUGCUCGGGUCAAAAGUUUCAAAAUUCUAUCUAAUAGAAUUGACUUGAGUUUUUUUAGUUGCUUUUUAAUUAAAUGAAAAUAAAAAACUUACAUUGUAAGAAAGUGCACUUCCAAUAACUUGCUGACCAAUUGGUGUUUCAACAUGUUAUGUAUCAGGGGUUGUCUCCUCUGUCAAAUAGGAAAUUGGACUUGCUGUUAGAUAUUUCAGACAAGCAAUCUGGUCAUUUGUUACCUGUACUUUUCUGCAAAGAAGAAAAGUCAUGCAAAUAUAACAAAAUAUUAAAAAGAUGUCUGAAAAUGCUUUGUGGAUACAGAGCUUUGAUCCAUACUGGCUGGUUUUAUCAUGAAGCAGCUCAAAUAUAUUUUUCUACUGUUUACGCUACUGUUUAUGGAAUCAGUUUAGUGCUAAAUGGAAUGCAUUUAUAGCAAUACUUUAAGAGUAUAUUUCUAGUAAAAUUAACUUGUAUAUGAUCUCACAGUUGUUGAUAUUGUAUGAUACAGUAACAAAUAAAAUAUUAUGAGACAUUUA